UUGGGUUUCGAUUUAAGCCAUGCCAGUCGAAUGAACCCUUUUUCAUGGCAUCCGGCUCAUUAACACGUGGAUAACUUACCCUUAGGACCGGGAUAACUUCGGGAAACUGAAGAUAAUUCUGGAUAUUAGGUUAUGCCNGGAAUGGUNUCCCCUUUGUAAUGUAUUUUUCGCCUAAGGAUAGAUCUGCGGCUGAUUAGGUCGUUGGNGGGGGUAAUGGCCCCACCAGGCCGAUGAUCGGUACGGGUUGUGAGAGCAAGAGCCCGGAGAUGGAACCCUGAGACAAGGUUCCAGACCCUACGGGGUGCAGCAGGCGCGAAACCUCCGCAAUGUACGCAAGUGCGACGGGGGGAUCCCAAGUGUUAUUCUUAACAGAAUAACUUUUCAUUAGUGUAAAAAGCUUUUAGAAUAAGAGCUGGGCAAGACCGGUGCCAGCCGCCGCGGUAACACCGGCAGCUCAAGUGGUAGCUGUUUUUAUUGGGCCUAAAGCGUUCGUAGCCGGUUUGAUAAGUCUUUGGUGAAAGCUUGUAGCUUAACUAUAAGAAUUGCUGAAGAUACUGUCAGACUUGAAGUCGGGAGAGGUUAGAGGUACUACCGGGGCUAGGGGUGGAAAUCCUAUAAUCUUUGGGAGGACCAUCUGUGGCGAAGGCGUCUAACUGGAACGAUCUUGACGGUGAGUAACGAAAGCCAGGGGCGGGGAACCGGAUUAAGAUACCCGGGUAGUCCUGGCCGUAAAGGAAUGUGGACUUGGCGUUGGGAAUGGACCUCGAGUUGUUUUGGUGCCGAAAGGGAAGCUGUUAAGUCCAACCGCCUGGGCAGGUACGGUCGCAAGACUGAAAUUUAAAGGAAUUGGCGGGGGAGGACCACAACGCGUGGAGGCUGGGGUUUAAUUGGAUUCAACGCCGGACAUCUCACCAGGAGCGACAGCGGAAUGAUAAUCAGGUUGAUGAGGUUAUUUGAUUUUCUUAGAGGAGGUGCAAUGGCCGCCGUCAGCUCGUACUGUGAAAGGGUCCUGUUAAGUCAGGCAACGAGCGCGA
rnacentral:rRNA from 1 species